GAUAUCUAAUUGUUUCUGAUUUAUUUGUUUCAGGUAUUUUCGGCAUUUGGUUUUGUUCACAAAAUUGCUACAUUUGAAAAGGCGGCUGGCUUCCAGGCAUUAAUCCAAUUCGCAGAUGCUGAAACUGCUUCUUCAGUGAGAGAUGCCUUGGAUGGCAGAAGUAUUCCCUGAUAUGUACUGCUUGCUUCCUUUCAUCUUGUUCCUCCUUCCACACCAGCCUCACUUUUCUCAUUUCUCUAGCAUCACUUAAUUCUUUUCAUAUUGAUUAUGCAUAUAUGGUUUGGGAAUUGAAUAAAAAUGUGGUUUCAUUCGAAUGUUUUUUUCAUGAUAUUUUUAAGGUACUUGCUUCCAGAUCAUGUUACUUCUUGUCACCUGUGAAUCUCGUAUUCUGCACACACUGAUCUGAAUAUCAAGUUUCAGUCUCGUCGGAGCAGGGACUAUACCAAUCCAUACCUUCCUGUCAAUCCGACUGCAAUGGAGGGGCUUAUGCAGGUAGUGCUUUCAUUUACAAACAUUUGAUCUGUUUUUUAGUAGUGAUUCACACUAAUAUGUUGUAAUCCCAAGCCUGUAGCUGGUCC